ACGACGUGGGUUAAGUCAUGGCCUUGAUCUCAUUUGACACUACGCUUCUCUCUCUCUCUCUCUCUGCCUUGUUCAUCAUCGAUUUCAGACUUAUUAGAGAAGUAUAACUGUGACCACACCCUUCAUCUCCUCUAUCUCAUUCUCAUCGCCGGAUCUUCUUACUACCAUGGCAGCGCAUACAGUCGGUGUUUGCCUCGGCCUCAGAUUGGAGAUUUCUGAUAGAUUUGGAAAAAGGAAAAGAAAGAAAUGGAUGAUGAGUAUGCUAAGUUCGUGAGGCGGAUGAACCAACCCAGUGUUCAACGUGAUUGACCGUGAUGGCCACAAAAUCAGAGACAAGGUCAUUAUCAAUUAUGUACAAAUUAUAGGGUAAGAGACCAAUGGAGGAGGAGAUCUGCCAUUGCUUUAUGCUGAAGUUAAUGACCAGGUGGCCUUGUCAGAAAUGGAUUCUGUUUUGAAGCAGACUCUGAACCGGGAAUGAUCAUUCACCCAAACAAAUGGAAUGCACAAUCUCAAAUUAAAAGCUAAAGAUGUCAGCUGUCAUAUCAGCUGACAUGACAACAUUUUGUCUAUGUUGAAAACUUGGGCACUGUUUGUAUUUUGGUGCUCUAUGCUGCAAAGGAAACCCCAGCAAUCACCACCGUCAUGUUAUUGGUGGCUGCAUAGUGGCUAAUGAAGAUUUUGGUGGCCUUUGUGAAUAAUGAGCACCCUUAUUGGAGGGUGUCCUAUAAGCAUAAUUCUAGUAGUGUACUAUGUUAUUUGGGUUGGAAAAAAGCCGGGCAUCUUUUGUACUUGGAAAGAAUGUAAGGAGCUCACAAAUGGGGUGAGGAAUGCUACAUUUAAGGGAUAUAACACCAUUGCGGAAGCUGUGGAUGCUAUUAAAAAACCGCCACGCCAUGACCCUACGAUAAGCCCACCAACUUGGCCAUAUGAUGUUCCCUCAGAAGCCAGAUUGUUAAUCUUUGGAGAAAGAUCGGGAUCUUCUUUCGAAGAAGGAUUGAGAUCUUCUUACCGACACACAAAUGCUGAUGACGUGAAAGCAACAAUGGACUUGAAUGGUCAUGAAGUGAUAGUUGAGGGAAAUGUUGAUGCAAUUUCCAAUCUCAUGUCUAGUCUAUUUUUGAAAUAGCUUUUUAUGUUAAUAUGUUUUAAUUAGAACUUUUUUACAUAAUGUAUGUUCCAUUUACUUUUUUACAUAAUGUAUGUUU